UACGAAGGGAGCAAGCGUUACUCGGAAUUACUGGGCGUAAAGCGUGCGUAGGCGGUUUGAUAAGUCCGUUGUGAAAGCCCUGGGCUCAACCUGGGAACUGCAGUGGAUACUGUUAGGUUAGAGAGGAGAAAAGGAUGGUGAAAUUCCCGGGGAAACGGGGAAUUGCGAAAAGAUCGGGAGAAACCUCGAUGGCAAAGGCAGUCAUCUGGACCUUCACUGACGCUGAGGCCCGAAAGCGGGGGAAGCAAACAGGAUUAGAUACCCUGGUAGUCCACGCCCUAAACGAUGCGAACUGGAUGUUGGGCUCAACUUGUCAGUCAGUGUCGAAGCUAACGCGUUAAGUUCGCCGCCUGGGAAGAACGGUCGCAAGACUGACACUCGAAGGAAUUGACGGCGGCCCGCACAAGGGGUGGAGUAUGUGGUUUAAUUCGAUGCAACGCACACAACCUUACCUGGGCUUGGCAUGCACGGAGCUUUCCAGAGAUGGAUUGUCGCCUUCGGGAACCGAGACACAGGUGCUGCAUGGCUGUCGUCAGCUCGUGUCGUGAGAUGUUGGGUUAAGUCCCGCAACGAGCGCAACCCUUGUCCUUAGAGUCCACCUCAUAAUGGUGGGAACUCUAAGGAGACAGCCGGGACAAAACCGAGGAAAAGGGGGAGGACGUCACAUCAUCACGGGCCCUACGGCGCAGGGGUACACACGCACUACAAAGGUGGGGACACAGGGUCGCGAAGCCCAGAGGUGGAUGCACACUAACCAGCAAAACACUAUCUCACAUCCUGGAUACGGAGUUUGCAACUUGGAUCCCAGAAAUCGGAAUCGCUUGUAAUUGCAGAUCAACAGUGCCGCGGUGAAUACGUUCCCGGGCCU
rnacentral:rRNA from 1 species